rnacentral:rRNA from 1 species
UACGUAGGGCGCGAGCGUUGUCCGGAAUUAUUGGGCGUAAAGAGCUCGUAGGCGGCGUGUCACGUCGGGUGUGAAAGACCGGGGCUUAACUCCGGUUCUGCAUUCGAUACGGGCUAGCUAGAGUGUGGUAGGGGAGAUCGGAAUUCCUGGUGUAGCGGUGAAAUGCGCAGAUAUCAGGAGGAACACCGGUGGCGAAGGCGGGUCUCUGGGCCGAUACUGACGCUGAGGAGCGAAAGCGUGGGGAGCGAACAGG